rfam:Oryza brachyantha chromosome 8, whole genome shotgun sequence.
AUGAUAAGAGGCAGCCGGGCUAGCCAAGGAGACUGCCUGUACUAAUUAUAUCAUAUAUGUGAUCAGCUGCAAUCAAGAAUCAUAGACUGAUCAGGCACAUAUAUAUAUAUAUAUGUAUGCAUGUAUAUGUAUAUAUAUAUAUAUAUAUAUACACACACACAGGCAAGUCAUCCUUGGCUACCAGAACUCACUCUCAUCA